UUUUAUGUUCAUCUGAGGAGCAGGGUGGUUGAGAAGGUCUAUCAGAGGGGGGCAGAUGAAUGUGGGUAUAAACGUGCGGCUGCUGGCUACGUACGUGUCUCUCCUGUUAUGAUGAUCUGGCCGCCUAUCUUCCCAGCGCGGAACAUGAGACGUGAAGAAUGAUCCCCCUGUGUUUGAUCGUUGUACUAUCUAAACUGAGUAUGAAUUCUGCAAUAGAGAGGUAUGUACUUUGAGUUAUUUCUCUUCCUAAAGACAAUAGAUAUUGCAGUCAUGUAUGUUGGGUCUUAAGAACAUGUGUUUCAUUUCAGUUAAAAAACCUGAAGUUUGCAGAGGUUUAUUGAAAUAUAUCCAGCAAAACUGCACUGAUCUUCUAAGCUGACAGUAGUUUGUAUAAGAUAUUCCAUAUAUGAUUGCUUUCUGGUAAUGAUCAGUUGCGUAGAAAAACUUUGAAUGGUGGCCAAAUAAAAAUGACAAGCAGAAAAUGGAAGAGAAAUAACUGAAAAUAUAGCUUUUGGCAAGGAAGUUUCUUUUGUAUUCUUGACAGGGAUGGCUCAAGCAAUAAGACGGUGUGCAUGUGUUGUGAUGCCCAUUUUUAUUAAAACUGACUUGUCUACAAGCUAUAAUCCACCCAUCAUCACUAGUUCACUACUAUUAGUUCUAAGGGAAAAUUUGAUAGAUGCCAUUAGAUGAAGUUUUAUCCCAAUGGCAGCCAGAAAAAAAAAGUGAUGCUUGGUGUCCACAAACUCCACAACAAUGGUAUUCCUCGUCACGGACAAAUGGCAAAACAGUAAAUUAGAGUGCAUCCAGUCCUAGCUUAUCAGAAACCUGAGUAAUAAUCAACUGAAGCAUUGAUUUGAUUGAUACCACCAUCCAUUUUUCUAUAUAUGAUAGUAAUAACUAAAGUUCAGCCUAUCUCGAAUCCUGACUCUUCUUCAUUUUUACGCAUUCGAGGCAUCAUUACAAAAAAAUAUCAAAGAUUAGCCACACUCCUGACUAUAGCUAACUGUAUCACUUUGCUCCCUCACAAAAGCAAAGAUUACACGAGGUGCUAGAAUUCAUUAGAUGGAGUUUUAUCCCAAAUUCCCAAUGGUGUCCAGAAAAAAGAAUCCAAAUCUAGCUUAUCAGGAACUUGAUGAAUCAUCAGCUGAAGCAGCGAUUUCAUUCGGUACCACCAUCCUUUUUUCCGUAGAUAUGAUACUAGUAGCUAAACUUCUGCCUGUCUUUAAUCUCGAUUCUUCUUAAAAAAGUACUUAUUGAGCACAUCAUUAAAAAUGUUAUCAGAGAUUAGCCACUCUUCUGGCCAUAGCUAACUAUGAUUUUGGCCCCUCCCAAAAGCAAAGAUACAAAAGGUGGUAGAAUAGAACCUUCCAACAGAGAACAUAUAUUCUACCCAAUCAGACACAUCUAUAAAUAAGCACCGUUGGGUCAUCAGCAUCAUAAAACACCAAGAAACAACAGCCUACAUAUAGCUCAGGUGAACUGAACUGAUCAGAUGAUCGACCGCAAAGCCCCAAGAAACAACAUCCUACAGUUAGCCACCAAUUGGCUCGAUCAGCUUGGCCGACAGGGUGACGAAGCUGGCGUCGCAGCGCGCGGUGGUGAUCUUUGGGGUGAGCAACCGCUUCAUGUGCCACACGGUGAAGACGCGCUCUUCGCGGAGCUGGGCGUGAGCUGGACAGUGCACAAGCUGACAAAGGACCCCUGGGGGAAGAACGUGGAGAGGGCGUUUGCUGGCAUGGUCAUGACACUGCACCUUGGCGGCCAGCUCGUGCCGCUCCUCAGCCAGGCUGGCGCUCUCUGGCUCUAAAGUCAAGGACAGCAGUGGCUGAUGCGUGUGUGCAGUUAUGUGUGAUCGCAGCCUCAAAAUCGAGCCAAGCUAGUGAUCAUAUAGUGUGUGCAGUGCAGCUACAUAGUUUUGGAAAGCUCAUCAAACAUAUUAACGGUUAGGGACGAAAAUGGAGUGAAAACUUUCCGCUUUUCCGGAGGAAAAACGAAAAUGGAGAGAAAAUAUGGAAAUGGAAAUUUGCAAAAUGAAAACAAAAAUGGAAUUUUUUACGCGGAAAUGGAAACAAAACGGAACGUUGUUUUCCGGCGGAACAGACAUGGAAACGGAACUUUCCGUUUUCGCGAAUAUGAAAUUUCCAUCUUUACUAUGGACUUCAUGGGCCAGGGUGACCUCCAUGUCGCUUUACAAACCCCACGGAAACUCCAAAUACAUGCUGUCGUCAUAAGUACAGACACACCGAUUGGCUGCUCUUUGUUUAACCCUUUUCUUGUAUACUUUUGUUGCUAAUUUUCCAUCGCAGAUUACAAAAUAAGUACAUGCAACACAAUUCAGAAACCACAAACUGAGCGGGUUUAGAUACAUUUGUUGCUAAUUUCCAUCGCAGAUUAACAAAUUAGUACUGUAGAUUGCAACGCCAUUCACUUUGUUACAGAAGUCUUGGCAUCGAACAGGCAUGCGUCAUCCUAAGUACAGACACACUGAUUCGGUGUUAUUUGUGUAACCCUUUAUUUUGUAUACUUUUGUUGCUAAUUUCGGUCGCAGAUUAACAAAUUAGUACUGUAGAUUGCAAUGCCAUUCAGUAACCUUAAACUGAGUGGGUUUAGAUAGUACUCCCUCCGUCCCAUAAUAUAAGAGCGUUUUUGACACUACACUAGUGUCAAAAACGCUCUUAUAUUAUGAGACAGAAGGAGUAGUUGAUAUAAAGGUCUAAAAGAUAUGGUAGGUCAAGAUUAACCUUCUUUUCAUUCUAGGUUCUUUUCGGUAAUCUCAUCCCUAUCACGAGAAAUUAAGAGAUAUGUCAAGACUUCUGUAACAAAGUGAAAAGGUGUUUUUCACUAUCAAGUUCGCACACUAGCUAGUUUCAGUGCAAUGUAAUCCUGGUAUCCACGCAUAGGAUCGGCGGUCUUUUUUGGGAAGUUUGUACCCCUAUUUGUUGAAACACUAUCCCUCAUGACAUAGCUUAUCAUCGCAUCCUAAAUAGGAAGGUAUGUUGCUGACGAGGUAAUGGAAAUUGAUGAGAAAUCAAAAUUAUCUGGAUGGGUUUGAUUGGACUCUGACUAAUGUAUGCUAUUUCACUUGUUUAAUUUCUCUCCUUGGUUUGAAUAACGUUAGCAUUCAUAGAAUCUGUCAUGACUGUCGAAACAAUGUGUGCAAUUCUAUAUGCUAUAUCCCCGAUGCAAAAUACAAUAGAUUCUUGCAUGUAAUGGUUACCAACCUGAUUAGCAGAUACUGAGCUUAGCAAUGCAAAUGUGUAGUGUUCAUGUCACAGACUCACAGCCGUAGAACACCAGGUGUUGCAGUCAUGUCAGAUUGAUCUUAAUAACUUUUGUCAUUUCAUUAAAAGAAGGUGUGAAGUUUACAGAAGUGUAUUGCAAGAUAUCCACCCGAACUGCACUGAAUCUUCUAAGCUUGACUGCAGUGUGUAUAAGUUAAUGCAUAUAUGAAGACUUGUUAGUAAUGAAGUUUUUUUUCUUUUGGGCCAAAACAGAAGGACACCAGGUGUUGCAGUCAUGUCAGAUUGAUCUUAAUAACUCUUGUCAUUUCAUUAAAAGAAGGUGUGAAGUUUACAGAAGUGUAUUGCAAGAUAUCCACCCGAACUGCACUGAAUCUUCUAAGCUUGACUGCAGUGUGUAUAAGUUAAUGCAUAUAUGAAGACUUGUUAGUAAUGAAGUUUUUUUUCUUUUGGGCCAAAACAGAAGGACACCAGGUGUUGCAGUCAUGUCAGAUUGAUCUUAAUAACUUUUGUCAUUUCAUUAAAAGAAGGUGUGAAGUUUACAGAAGUGUAUUGCAAGAUAUCCACCCGAACUGCACUGAAUCUUCUAAGCUUGACUGCAGUGUGUAUAAGUUAAUGCAUAUAUGAAGACUUGUUAGUAAUGAAGUUUUUUUUCUUUUGGGCCAAAACAGAAGGAGCUCUGCCUUUGCAUUGAAGAUAAGGAAUUUAUCACAGCGACCAGUGGUGUAAAAAAACCUUUGGAAGACAAGUAAGUAGAAAUGAGGAGCAGCAACUGGAACAGAAAUGACUGGAAGUACAACCUGUGGCAAGGAAACUUCAUUUGUGUUCAGAAGGGAAGGCUCAAACGAUACAACAAGGUGAGCAUGUUGAGUGUUAGUUGUGAUAUCCAUCUUCCACAAUAAAACUUACUUAUUUUUUUGCAAAAAAAGUACAAUCCAUCCAUCAUCACCAGUUCACUACUAGUAGUUCUAGGGGAGAUCGUUAGGUGUGAUCUGGAGCUAGUUUUCUACUUAAUUUGUGGCAUCCAUUAAAUGGAGGGGUUUUAGAUGUGAUGCAUCAUGUCCACAACUCUACACAACCAGUAUUCCUUCUCACGCACAAAUGGCAAAAAACUAGAAAUUAGAGUGGAUCUAAACCUAGCUUAUCAGGACCUGUUAAAUCAUCAGCUGAAGCACUGAUUUAGUUGAUACCACAGAAGUUAAGCCUAUGAUCUCGAAGAUUCUUGGCAUCAUUUUUCUAUGUGUGAUACUAACAACAAAAGUUCAGCUUGUCAAGAAUCUUGAUUCUUCUUCAUCUUUACUUAUUCGAGACACUAUUUAAAAAUAUCAAAGAUCAGCCGCUCUCCUUGCCAUAGCAAAUAUUAAAAAAUAUCAAAUACCCACGUGGCGAUCGAGGUCUCCUCCUAUGAAGAGCUUCUCGCCAAUUGGAACACUCCUAACCAUGUCCUCUAGGCCUUCCCAGAACUCUUGUUGAUCAAGAUGCCUACGCAAUUUCUGUUUGCAGCCGCCCCUGUGUACCAUAGCUUGAAGCCGGUAUCCUUCACCUUCUGUCCCCUACAUUUAGUUUCUUGGACGCAAAGGUUAUCAACACCUCUCCUUACCGUUGCAUCCACUAGCUCCCGAAGCUUACCUGUCAGGGACCCUACAUUCCAGCCACCUAAGCGGAUCCUCCUAGGCCCGGCUAGCUUCCAUACCAUUCGCACUCGUUGAAUCAAAUGCGAAGACCCUUGCUCAUUUUCCACUACAGCUGGGCGUAGAUGUAGCGCGUCACUAAGGAUGCGAUGCCCCGAUCCUCACUCACUUGCCACUGUAUCCAGAUCAAGAUACGNNNNNNNNNNNNNNNNNNNNNNNNNNNNNNNNNNNNNNNNNNNNNNNNNNNNNNNNNNNNNNNNNNNNNNNNNNNNNNNNNNNNNNNNNNNNNNNNNNNNNNNNNNNNNNNNNNNNNNNNNNNNNNNNNNNNNNNNNNNNNNNNNNNNNNNNNNNNNNNNNNNNNNNNNNNNNNNNNNNNNNNNNNNNNNNNNNNNNNNNNNNNNNNNNNNNNNNNNNNNNNCCUUGCCCAUUUGACACCACACCCGGGUCUCGAUGUGCCGCGUCGCUAAGAGGGUUACACCCCAAUGAAAAACUUUUGUGUUUCAUCUCCAUAUUGAGACAACAUAGGCGGAGUUUGAUUAGGUGCUAUUUGUUUAACUCUUUUUUAAUACUUUUGUUGCUAAUUUUCCAUCGCUGAUUACAAAAUAAGUACAUUGCAACGCAAUUCAUUAACCACAAACUGAGUGUGUUUAGAUAGUAGUUGAUAUAAUGGUCUAAAAGAUAUGGUAGGUCAAAAUUAACCUUUUUAUUCUAUGUUCUUUCGGUAAUCUCACCCCUAUCACGGAGUUAAGAGAUAUCUCAAGGCUUCUGUUACAAAGUGAAAAUGUGUUUUCACUAUCAAGUUCGAACACUAGCUAAGUUUGACUCUGUGUAAUGUAAUCCUUUUAUCCAUGCAUAAGGUUGGCGGUCUUUUUUGGGAAGUUUGUGCCCCUAUUUGUUGAAAGGACUAUCCCAUAUUACAUAGCUUAUCGAGGUAACAGAAAUUGAUGAGAAAUCAAAAUUCCGUGGAUGGGUUUGAGUGGAUCUCCUCUGACUAAUGUAUGCUAUUUCACUAUGUUUAAUUCCUCUCCUUGGUUUGAAACAUGUCUGCAUGCAUAGAAUUUGUCAUGACUGUCGAAACAAUGUGUGCAACUCUAUCUGCUAUUUGCCGGAAUACAAAAUAUAGUAGAUUCUUGCAUGUACUGGUUACCAACUUUAUUAGCAGAUACUGAGCUUAGCAAUGCAAAUGUGUAGAGUUCAUGUCGCAGACUCGCAUCCGUAGAACACUAGGUGUUGUAGUCAUCUAAGAUUGAUCUUAAUAACCUUUGUCAUUUGAUUAGAAGAACGUGAAGUUUACAUAAGUGUAUUGCGAGAUAUCCACCUGAACUGCACUGAAUCUUCUCAGCUUGACUGCAGUGUGUAUAAGAUAUUGCAUAUAUGAAGACUUGUCAAUAAUGAGCACUUUUUUUAGCUGAAACAGAAGGAGCUCUGCCUUUGCCCUGUGUUUGACCUUUGUAAUAUCUUCACUGGGUAUGACUUCUAAGCUUGACUGCAGUGUUUAUAAGAUAUUGCCAAUAUGAAGACUUGUCGGUAAUGAAGAUUUUAUCAUGGCGAUCAGUCGUGUGAAAAAUACUUGAGAAAAUAUGUAAGUAGAAAUGAGGAGAAGCAACUGGAACAGAAAUGACUGAAACUGCAAGUUGUGGCAAGGAAGCUUCAUUUGUGUUCAGGAGGGAUGGCUCAAACGAUACAACAAGGUGAGCAUGUUGAAUGUUUGUUGUGAUAUCUAUCUUUCACAUUAGACCUUUUAUUUUUUCCCAAAAAAAUAUUGCCCAAUCCAUCCAUCAUCACUAGUUCACUACUAGUAGUUCUAAGGGAGAUAGUUAGGUGUGAUCUGUAGCUAGUUCUGUACUUAAUUUUGUGAUAUCCAUUAGAUAAAGGGGUUUAGAUGUGAUGCAUCGUGUCCACAACUCCACACAAUUGGUAUUCCUUCUGAUGCACAAAUGGCAAAAGCAGCUGAUUAGAGUGUAUCCAAACCUAGCUUAUCAAGGACCUGUUGAAUCAUCAGCUGAAGCAUCGAUUCAGUCGAUACCACGAAAGUUCAGCCUAUCUCGAAUCUUGAUUCUACACCAUUUUUCUAUGUGUGAUACUGAAAACAAAAGGUCAACCUGUCUCGAAUCUUGAUUCUUGUUUAUCUUACUCGAGACUAUUAAAAAAUAUCAAUGGUUAGCAACUCUACUGUCCAUAGCUAACUGUAUGAUUUUGGCCCCUCCCCAAAAGCAAAGAUUACAAAAGGUGGUAGAAUAGAACCUUUAGACAGAGAACAUAUAUUCUACCCGAUUAGCCACAUCUCAUAGCGAUUCCCUUGCACUUCAAUUAAGCAUGCAAUCCUGCGCCGACCACUCCCUCCUCUUUACCCGCCGCGGUCAUCUAUAAAUAAGCACGCUGGGUCAUCACUAUCAUCCAACUCCAAGAAACAACAGCUUACACCAAGUUCAAGUGAAGUGAGCUGAUCAGAUCGAUCGGACACAAAGCCCAAAGAAACAAUAGCCUACAGCUAAGCUAGCCACCAAUUUGCUCGAUCAGCGAUGGUGGACAGAGUGACGAAUCUGGCGUCGCAGCGGGCGGUGGUGAUCUUCGGAGCGAGCACUGCAGUGCAGCUACAUAAUUUUGGAAAGGUCAUCAAACAUAUUAACGGUCAUGAUCUUUCAGUUGUACCUCUUUUUGUCAUGAAAACAGUAGAAAGGAUGCUCUGUAAGAGAUAAGCAUCCUGAGCAAUAUUAAAAGAGCUUAUUCUUGUUAUCUUGUUGUCGCUGCUUAACUAAUUUGAUGCUUUGCUUAAUCUUGCUGGCUGUUGUGCUAAAGCCGUGAGAGAGAAUCCACGGUAUAUAUAUAACGUUGCUCGGUAAAUUGGAGUAUAUUGUGUCAUAGCACACACGUUUUUGUCGGACUUCUGUGUCAUAGCACACACAGUGGCUGGUGCGUACGUGCAGUUACGUGUUAUCUCAGCCUCAAAAUUGAGGUAUUAAGCUAGUGUUCACAUAGCGCGUGCAGUGCAGCUACUGAUUUUGGAAAGGUCGUCGAACAUAUUAACGGCAUGAUCUUUCAGUUUUACCCAACGUCUUGAAUAGACAAUAGUGGGCUAUAGCUCCGCGAUAGCGCCGCUAUUGUUGAUUUAGAGGACUGCCGCUAUUUAAAACAAUGGUUUUACCUGUUGUUGUUAUAUGACAGGAAUGGAUGCUUUGUAAGAGAUGAGCAUCCUGAGCAAUAUUAAAGGAGUUUUGCUUAUCUUUUCAUUGCUUAAUUUGAUUUGAUGCUUUGCUUAAUUUAGCUGGUUGUUGUGUUAAAACUUUGAGAGAAUCUACGGUCUAUAUAAUGCUCCUUAGUAAAUGGAGAAUAUAGUGUCAUAUCGUACACCUUUUUCGGAGCUAUAUAAUGGUAGUACAUAACUGGAGGUAGAUGGACUGAUUCAGGGAGGUUAGUAUGUUUAGGUAGAUGCACUGGUCCAGUGAGCUCGGUAUGGCACGAGCUCGGUACUAAGGAUCUACCUAGGCUGCAUUUGGCAUCGCAGUGGAUCACUUAUUCGUCCAAUAAAUGUUUUUCUGCCUGCCGUCAUCCUUCUCUUUUUACACUUUUGUUGCUGAUUUUCCGCCACAGAUUAGAAAAUAAGUGCAUUUCAACGCAGUUCAGUAACCACAAACUUAGUGGGUUUAAAUAGUAAAAUUGAUAUAAAGGUCUAAAAGAGAUACGUCGAGGCUUCUGUAACAAAGUGAACAAGUGUUUUUCAUUCUACGUUCUUUUUGGUAAUUUCAUCCCUAUGAUGGAGAAAUUAAGAGAUACGUCGAGGCUUCUGUAACAAAGUGAACAGGUGUUUUUCACUAUCAAGUUCGCACACUAACUCAAUUUCGGACCAGCAAAGCCUCCUCCCCAAGAAAAGUUUAGUAUUCCUUUGCCUCCCGUCGGUGCCGCCGCCGGUCCAUCUCGUCUCCGGUGGCCUUAGGGCCAUGGCGGCGCGGUGGAUCCCGGCCUUUGCCGGCGGGAGGGCUCCGUUUUUAGAUGUUUCUUCAAGUUUUGUUAGGGUUUGUGUCCUUCUCAGGAAGACGAGACGGCGGCGGCUCCGUGAAGAUGGAAUAAGGUCUUUCCCGCCUAGCCCCCAUUCCGGUGAUGUGUCUAGCAUUGUCGGUGGGCGUGUGGAGGUGUGUCUCCGACAGAUCUAUCCUUGGUGGAUUUGCUCGGAUCUGGUCGUAGUUCAUCUAUGUUUGUGUUUCUUCAGGUUGAAUCCUUCCGAUCUAUGCUACUCUUCAUCGCCGGCGGUUGCUAUUCUGCUGCGCUGGUCCUAUGGGGCCUUAGCACGACAACUUCCCGACUGUCUACUACAACAAGUUUUGCCCGGCUCCGACGAGGGAGGGGCGAUGACGGUGGCGCGCCUUCGGCUCGCUUUAGUGCUUGUAGUCGUCGCUAGGUGGUCUACGGACCUAGAUGUAACUUUUAUUAUUUCUGGUGUUCGUUGUAUAGCCAUGAUUGAAGAUGAAUAGAUUGGAAGUUUUCUAAAAAAAAAAGUUCGCACACUAACUCCCUCGCAAAAGAAAAGUUCGCACACUAACUAGUUUGAAAGUGUAAUGUGGUCCUGGUAUCCAUGCAUAAGAUUGAGGUGGUGUUUUUUUCUUUUUUUCGAUAAAGGGAAUAUAUUAAUAUCGCGAUGAUACCAAAUACACCCGGCCUCUGCACCAACAAGAUGUCCAAAAACAUCAGGGAUGCACACAGCCAAGAAAUAAAAUAAAAAAGAGAAGAAAGAAAACAAAGGCCCCGUCACGAUGUUGAACCACUCGCAACAGUAGCACCCUAACCACCAUCGAAGACAACACCAGUAAUACAAACAAGAUUCUCCAAAAGCGACGCCUCCAAGAAGGAAACAAAGCACACGCGUUGUCGUCGCCUAAUCGAAGAUCUUGGGUUUUCACCCUGGAGAAAGCCCAAGAUCCAAAACAAUGCCUUCAACAAGGCCAUCGCCAGGUACAACCAAUGAAGGCCAGACCUUAGAUUUACACCCUGGAAACCGUGGCUUGAUACUCGAGGAGCACCACCAAGAAUGCAGUCCACCUAUGUUGCCACCCCCGCUUGCCAAGGUUGCUGCUGCAAGUCGCCAAACACCUGACAAACAGAGAGAACAUGUGCCGCAUUGUCUUCAACAGAACCAGUACUCUCUCUGCCAAUACCAACCUCGGAUCGCAGCCACCAUGAUUUCUCCACCUCUGUCCAUUUCAUGAAAAUCUAUAUUAAGACAUGUCCCAUGGUACCGACAAGAAGGCGAAGCUUCGCGCCUCGCCCAAAUGAAGCCAAUUGGCUGAUGAUAAGGGCGCGAGCGACCGCAUCGAUUCCGCUCAAGAUAUCCAGUAGCGCCCUACGCUAAACUGCGGAAAUCUCCGAGAGGAAGCCCGGAACUCGACGGCGGUCAAAUCAAGGAGGCAGACUUGAAGCAGAUCGACGCCUUGGUGCUCGAAGAACAGCAAGGCCAUACCACCUUUAUUCUUUGAAGCGGACCAGCAGGCCCCACGCCGCCAUCCGCCGCCCAACGGGCCCGACCGCCCCCGACGAAGGAGGAGGCCACCACCACCAUGCCCUGGACCGAUGCCGCGGACAGUCCUCGUGCCGCCGGACUAGCCCAGGAGUUCCUUGGCGUGCCUUCGUUGGAGACAUGGCAAUGCAGCAAGCGCAAAAAUGGUCAUGGUCCGUCUAGGUUGUACUAGAUCGGGGGCUCAACACCACCAGCCGGUGUCAUCGUCCAUCGCCGAAGAUGCUCGCCGAGAUCUGUUGGUCGUCGCCGUCCCACGCCACCAUCGAAACCUUGGCCGGUGCGGGCGCUGCCACUGCUGCGAGAUCUGCGCCGCCGCGCCAGGGAGGCCCCCACCACGAGAUCCACGCCAUCCGUGCUAGGACGUCGGUCGAGGAAGCUCCGCCGCCGCCGCGCCGCCGGGACUUUGCCCAGCUACGAUGCCAGCGGCGGCGGGAGGAGGGGCAAGGAUGGGGGAGGCUAGCCGGGAGUGGGCGGCGGCGCUCCGGUGCGGCCCGGCGCGGCCGCACGGGAGCGGUGUUACAGGAGCGGUGUUGAAGGCGCUGCCCCUCAUGACAUAGCCUAUCAUCCCAUCCUGAACAAAGUUUUUUUGCCAGCUCUCCUUUGGUACAAUGACAAAAUCACCAUAGGAACAGUGUCCUGCAUAUACAUGUGAAUGAAAUUUCCAUAAAAGGAAAAGGUACAUGCUGAACUUAAGAUUUUCUCGUUUAGAUUUUACAAUCUUCAGUGGUUGGCUGGUUGCUUAACUAAAACCUGGUCUAGAAAGGAUAAAAGUACAGUCAAGUCAAGGAAUUCGAAAUAGUCAAACCGAUAUCUCUCCCUUUAUGAUGAUCUGGCCGCCAGUUUUCCCGGCACGGAAUGUAGGGCAUGAUAAGAGGAACGACCCCCCCUGUGUUUGGUCUUUGUAAUAUCAUCACUGGGUAUGACUUCUGUAAUAGGAAGGUAUGUUGCCGAUGAGGUAAUGGAAAUUGAUGAGAGAAAAAUUAUCUGGAUGGGUUUGAUGGCAUCUCCUUUGACUAAUGUAUGUUGUUUCACUAUGUUUAAUUCCAUUCUUUAGUUUGAAACGUGUUUAUGCAUGCAUUGAAUUUGUCAUGACUGUCUAACAAUGUGUGCAACUCUAUCUGCAGUCGUGCAAGAUUCAUCUUAAUAACAUCUGUCAUUUCACUAGAUGAACUUGAAGUUCACAGAAGUGUAUUGUGAGAAAUCAACCGGAACUGCACUGAAUCUUCUAAGCUUGAAUGCAGUGUUUAUAGGAUAUUUUCCAAUAUGAAGACUUGUUGGUAAUGAAGAUUUUAUCAUGGCGAUCAGUAGUGUAAAAAUUCGUUGGGAAGAGGGGUAACUAAAAAUGAGGAGCAUCAAUUGGAACAGAAUGACUGAAAGUACAGCUUGUGGUAGGGAAGCUUCAUUUGUAUUCUGGACAGGUAUGGCUCAAAUGAUACAACAAGGUGAGCAUGUUGAAAGUUAGUUGUGAUAUCCAUCUUCCACAUUAAAAGUUAUUUAUUUUUUCCAAAAUAUUUUUGUCCAAUCCGUCCAUCAUCACUAGUUCACUACUUGUAGUUGUCGGGGGGAUCGUUAGUGUGUUUUCUACUUAAUUUUGUGGUAUCCAUUAGAUAAAGGGGUUUUAGAUGUGAUGCAUCAUGUCCACUGGUAUUCCUUCUCACGCACAAACGGCAAAACAGGCGAUUAGAAUGUAUCUAAACCUAGCUUAUCAGGAACCUGUUGAAUCAUCAGCUGAAGCAUUGAUUCAGUUGGUACCACAAAAGUUAAGCCUAUCUCGAAUCUUGAUUCUUAACGCCAUAUUUCUAUGUAUGAUACUAACAACAAAAGUUCAGCCUGUCCCGAAUCUUGAUUCUUCUUCAUCUUUACUUAUUCGAGACCAAUCACUAUUUAAAAAUAAAUAACAAGGAUCAGCCACUCUCAUGGUCAUAGCUAACUGUAUGAUUUUGGCCUCUCUCAAUUCUCAAAAGCAAAGAUUACAAAAGGUGUGGUAGAAUAGAACCUUUAGACAGAGAACAUAUAUUCUUCCCGAUUAGCCACAUCUCAUUCCAUUGCACCCCAAUCAAGCCUGCAACACUGCGCCGACCACUCCGUCUUUACCCGCCGCAGUCAUCUAUAAAUAAGCACCGUUGGUUCAUCACUAUCAUCCAACUCCAAGAAACCACAGCCUACAGCAAGCUCAAGCGAAGUGAGUUGAGCAGAUAUAUCAAUCACAAAGCCCCAAGAACAACAGCAUACAGACUAGCCACCAAUUCGCUCGAUCUGCAAUGGCGGAAAGAGUGACGAAGCUGGCAUCGCAGCGGGCGGUGGUGAUCUUCGGGGUGAGCAACUGCUGCAUGUGCCACGCGGUGAAGACGCUCUUCACGGAGCUGGGCGUGAGCUGGGUGGUGCACGAGCUGGACAAGGACCCCCGUGGGAAGGACGUCGAGAGGGCGCUCGCCGGCAUGGUCGGACGGAGCCCGCCCGUGCCAGCGGUCUUCAUCGGCGGCAGGCUCGUCGGCCCCACAGACAAGGUCAUGACGCUGCACCUCAGUGGCCAGCUGGUGCCGCUCCUCCGCCAGGCCGGCGCCCUUUGGCUCUGAACUGAAGAGUCAGGGACAGCAGUGGCUGUGCGUGCGUGCAGUUAUGUGUGAUCCCUAGGGAUCAUAUAAUAGUGCGUGCAGUGCAGCUACAUAAUUUUGGAAAGGUCAUCAAACAUAUUAAGGGUCAUGAUCUUUCAGUUGUACCUCUUCUUGUCAUAUGACAGAAGGAAAGGAUGCUUUGUGUUGCUUAAUAUCAAAUGAGCAAUAUCAAAUGAGCUUAUGCUUAUCUUGUGUUGCUUAAUUCGAUUUGAUGAUUUGCUUAAUUUAGCUAGCUGUUGUGCUAUGGACGUUAUAUAUAGUAUCAUCUCGCACACGUUUUUCUCGGAGCUAUAGAAUACUCCGUAGGUAACCGGAUUGAUUCAGAGAGGUUAGUAUGUUGAUGUAGAUACCUGAUCCAGCGAGCUCAGUUUGUUGAGGUAGAUGCGCUGGUCCAAUUGCUCGGUAUGGUACGAGUGCUGAUGUGGCACACUGCAUUUGAAAGAGACUGUACUUAUGGUAUAGCGUAUUCAUAUAUAGUACUCUCUCUGUAAAGAAAUACGGAAUCGAUAACUCCCGAACGCGCUGCGUUUUGAUGUUUCCCUCCGAACGCCUCCUGCGCCGUCAGAUUUACAGUACGAAUCUUAAAUCGGCUGGGUUGCCACGUCACGCAAAAAACUCGUUCGGGCCCGAUACUACCGACCCCGAACGCCUCAGUCUGUCUCUCUCUCUCUCUUAUCCAAAAACUCGUUCACGCAAAAAACUCGUUUCUCUUUUUUGUUUCUCGAUGUAUGUUUCGAAUUUUGAUCUGAAUUUUUUAAUGGUUAUCUUAAUGUAUGCUGUGAACAUGCAUGAUUUUUUUCAGUUUUUUUCGCAAUAUUUAAAUUUGAAUUCCGGCCGCAAGGCACACAGUUACAUGCAAACGUGCAUGUCACUUGAUCUGGUUGGCCCAACCACACCUUUGCUCUCUUUGCUGCGCAUUCUCGCCGCCGUCGCCAACAUCGACCGCAGAUCAGCUCCCGCCCGACCACCGCCUCCGCCGCGCGCAUCGACGGCGACCGCGGGACGAGGAGGCAAGCAGUUCCCUCGACGCCCUCGCGUGGGGAGCAUGGCAAGCCUGCGGCAGGCGCGCGGGGAGGAGCCCCGUAGGUCCCGCGGCGGCCUUGGGGUGGAGCAUGGCAAGUUCCGGCGGCGGCUGGGCGAUGAUGAGGUGCGGCCACCACCUAUCCACCUGGUGCGCCGCCGAUGCCGUCGAAGUUGGUGUUUGGUGCGGGCAGAGAGGAGCGACGAGAGGGAGAUGGGGGGAGAGGCGGUGGGCGACACAGGGUGAGGGCGGAUCCGGCGAGGCACGCGGACCACCCUGAUGCGCCUUCGGCUUCCAUGCGGGAGCCAGCCGCCCCGUUCCCCGUGACGGCCAUGAGCGCCAAGCUCCUCAAAGCUACAGCCAUGGCGUGGUGGCUACCGCGCCGCCGGGGAGGAGAUGCAAGCCACCGCGUGCCGCAAGGACGAGGUACCGGCCACCGUGCCGCCGGCGUGGAGAAGGGGUAGGCACGGCACCCGUUCUAGAGAAGUGGAGUGUGUUCUACAGGCUUACAUCUCGCCGCGCGUUCUACAAAUUGUGCAGCUCCCUUCUAAGGUAUGAAUCGUGCCCAUGCCUCUCCCGUUCUAGUUCUUCUACUAACUAAUGUGAGUUUUUCCGAGACGAGUUGCCGUCCUGCUGAUUGCUAGAUUUUUAGAAGAUAAUCAAUAGAGGUGUUGGUUAGUAUUAGCUGCAGGAGAGGAAAGCGCUGGGUGCUCCCGUCGUCGUACACGGUCGCUGAGGAGAGCCGACGGCUAUGGAGGACGUCGAGUGGCAGUGGCAGUUGCUCCCGUUUCUGCUACGAGUGUAUCAACGGCGUCGUCAGCCAUCGACCCCUCCAUUUCGGGCUUGCUCGAGAUACAAAAUGCAUACGUCCAUCUCAUCGCUACGAAAUUUGUUGAAGCUGCAAGUCUGAUUAAUCAAUCCAUUCCACCGAUGUUGUUUCAGUAUUUGCCAUGCUUUUGUUUUAAUUGUGUUUUUGCACUGACAGUCAGUACAAGUAGUAGAAUAGAGUGUCAAGCAUAUCAGACAUACAUAACCUGGUCCCAUGUUGCUUUCAUGUUGAUUCAAUCAAAUCUAAUUGAUCGUUUGAGACAAUCUCUAUUUUGGUUCAGUAAUGUCAUGUUCAUUUUACUGUCGGAGUGAUCCAUCGAGUCCAUGCAUGCAUUUUUGGUUGAUUGGUUCAGUACAUAUGGCCAUGCAAUUGAAGAAGAAUCAGUCUACCAUCAUUGAUCGAGCAUACUAUGGGCAAACAUUUUUUAUUGCCAUGCCAAUUUAAACUUUUUAUUUGACAUGGCGAAUUAACUUCUAUUGCCAAGACGAAGGCCAUUUUUUCGGCAAAUAACAAUGGAAAUUUUAGUUCAGGAAUCAUGGCGAAUUUCUAAAUUUAACCAUGGCAACUCUAUUUUCAUUUGACCAUGGAAAAUUUUGUUCAAAGAUCAUGGCAAGUUUCAAUUUCUCAUUGAGUAACCAUGGCAACUUUUUUUUCAUUUGAUCUUGAUAAGUUUAGAAAUUGAUCAUGGCAAUUUUAGUUUGUAGAUCAUGGCAUUUUUUAGUUUCAUGUAUUUCGCUUGGCAACAUUUUUUUAGCCAGGACGAUGGCAAUUUUUAGUAAAUGACCAUGGGAAAUUAAGUUUAUGAUGCAUGGUAAAUUUAAUUAUUUAAACAUGGCAAAAGAAUAUUUAGUAAAUCACGAUGGCAAUUUUUCUAAAUGUUAAGUACAUCCACAACUUCUGUCGCACCCUUAUUUGGCAAAUUUUACUCCAUUUUUUGCCAUGGCAAAAAUACCUUUAUUCACACGUCAAAUUUUAGUUUAAGUUUCCAUGGCAAUUUUUUUGUUUAAGUUUCCAUGGAAAAUUUAUUGUAAAGUGCAUGGAAAUUUUGUUUUAAAUAUGAUGGCAAAUUUACAUUUCCAGAACAUGGCAAAUUUAACUAUGUAGCACGGCAAGUAUACUUGCAUAGCCAUGGCAGUUUUUUUAUUUAUUUGCCAUGGCAAAAGUACUCCAUUUUUUGCCAUGGCAAUUGUUUACUCCAUUUUUGUCAUGGCAAAUUUAACUUCAUUUUUUGCCAUGGAAAAAAUACUUUUAUUUUGCACAUGGCAAAUUUUAGUUUUAGUUGCCAUUGGAAAUUUUAUUUUUAGUUGCCAUGGCAAAUUUAUUGUAAAGAGCAUGGAAAAUUAAUUUAAAUAUUAUGGCAAAUUUACAUUUGUAGAACAUGGCAAGUUUUACUAUGUAGCAUCUUAAAUAUAUUUGUGUAUCCAUGAUAUUUUUUAAUUUAUUUUCCAUGGCAAAAGUACUACAUUUUUGCCAUGGCAAAAAUUAACUUUUGCCAUGACAAAUUUAACUCCAUUUUAUGCCAUGGCAAACUUCUUUAGUUAACAUGUUCAAAAACAUGCAAACUUGCUAUGGCAAAGUUAUAGAUGUUCAAAACAUGGCAAUCUUUGCCAUGGCAACAUAAGAUGUUAAAAAAAUAUGGCAAAUUUGCCAUUGCAUUUUAAAAUGUUCAAAAACAUGGCAAACUUUAAUAUGUGCAAAAACAUGGUAAUUUCUUUUAAUUAAGUUUUGUCCAAAAACAUGACAAACUUCUUUUAAUUAACAUGUUCACAAACAUGCAAACUUGCCAUGGCAACUAAAUAUGUUCAGAAAAAUGCCAACGUUGUAGAUCUUAAAAUAUUCGUAAACUUACCAUGGCAAAUUUAAGAUGUGCAAAAACAUGGCAAAAUUCUUUUUUAAUUAAGUUUGUACAAAAACAUGGCAAACAUGCAAACUUUCUUUAACUAAGAUGUUCAAAAAACAUGGCAACUUGCUAUGGCAACUAAAGAUACUCAAAAACAUGGCAACCUAAGAUGUUCAAAAACAUGGCAAACUUGCCAUGGAAACUAAAAUGAGUAUUGUUGAUAGAAGUUUUUUUUCCAUGGCAACUAAAUGCAUUUUUUGCCAUGGUUAGUUGUGUCUUUUUGCCAUGUCCAUCCGAAGAAUGUUUGUCAUGGCCAUUGCACUUUAGAUUCAGAACACGACGAGUUUGUUCUUUUCAAAUUUCUUUUUGCCAUGGCAAAAAGUUUUGAUCCUUUGAAGUUUGUUUUGCCAUGGAUAUUACAUGUACGAUAUCAUCACAACUUAAGAUGUUUUCUCCAUUCUUUUUCCGAAAAUUUUCUAUGUUUCUGGAGAGAACUUCUUUCACCAUAUCACUUCAUGGCAACUUUUCAUUUUUUUUAUAAACAUCAUACUGAUGGCAAUUUUUCGUACAGUUGAGAUGCAGAUUGCCAUGACUUCUUCCUUUUUUUGAGCCAUUUUUUAAAACAUAAACUUGAACACGGUAAUUUUUUUCAUAGAAUUGCAAAAGUCCGUGGCAAUUUUGUUGUGCACAGAAAAACUGGGCCUUUUACUAGUCAUAACUUUGCCUAAAAAAAAGUAGUCAUAACUUAAUAUGGGCUUUAUUUAUUUUUUGUUUUGCUUUUCAUAGGAAAAGGCCUGAAGGCCCGGUGGGUGGGGCGUUCGCUCUGGGGCGAUCUCCUCCCGUACGAGUUGUCGUUCGAUCCAUGCUCCCUCCCAUCCCGAACAAAACAUUCGGUCUGGGGUGCUCCCAGACCGAACGGUCGGGAGUUAUCGACGUCCAAGAAAUAUAAGAUCGUAAUAUACGUUACGAUCUUAUAUUUCUUUACAAAGGGAGUAUCUCUUGCCAGGAACUAGUUCCUCUGGUGCCAAGACAAAAUCCUGAAGGCGAAAGUAUAUAUCAUGCAUGGGAAGAAAACAAAUUGUACAUGAAAACAAUUUGACGUUGAGCUCAGUAUCCUCCAAGACGCAAACUGGUCAAUUUCCACCAUCAAACUUUGGUGCCUGCUUGCGAUGAAACUCAAACCCUCGAGAGCAAAGCAGAGUCAAGAACGCAGGAAGCAGGGCAGAGCCAGAAAGGAGGAAUUGAGCUGCUGCUACGGCCCGUUUUCCAUGUCACCGCUGAAAAAUUCAAUAUAGGCAGCCUAGGUGGCAGUAGCCUUUUCAUUUAGCAAAAAAUCAACAAGGUGAAGUGAUUCUUCAGACCUUUCUUUCACGCUCUAUUUACGGCUCGAGGCAGGAAUAUAAUCUAGUUUUGGAUAUUGUUAGUUAGAUAUACUGCCAGAUGUGUGCACGUACGCUUGGUGAUUCGAGUGCGUGGUGGCACAUAUUCGUGUUAUCGUAUCCUCCUGCUUAUUCAUUCACUCGUACUGUGGCGCACCGACGGGGUGCAAUGCGAUCGAUGGAUGCGAUGCGAGCCAUAAGAAUCCUCAUGGAUAUUAUAUAUGCAUGUUCCGGGCCGGCUGAGUCGACCUUGAUCCAUUCCAGCGGGGCAGAUGAGAAAUGCUCGCCGGGCCGAAAGGUGAACCGUGUGGCCAACCCAGAUUCGAGGAACUUUCUCCUGGUUUAUGCUAUAGAUUUAUUAAAACACAAGUGCGUAAUGGAGAAAAGAAAGUAGGUUUGGAAAAGAUACCUUUUUUUUAACAUGUCUGGAAAAGAUACAUGACUAGGAGAUAAACCUUUAUGUUCGAUAUAUUUUCCAUAGAUUGUAUAAUGUUAAUACAAGUUUUAACAUUACUGAAGUUCAAAGGGUUUCUCUUUCCCUCUUCUGUCUAUGGCGGCUAGGGCGCUUAUCCCCUCCAAACUUCAUCGGCGAGCCUGUAGAUCCACCUCUCCUUCACCUGCCGCUUAGUUUCACCUCUUGCUGUCAUGCAACAGAAGGAAUGGAUGCUCUGCAAAAGAUGAGCGUUCUGAGCAAUAUAAAAUGAGCUUAUGCUUAUCUCGUCGUUGCUAAAUUUGAUGCUUUGCUUAAUUUAGCUCAGUGUUGUGCUUACCGUGAGAGAAUCCUCAGUAUAUAUACAACGUUGCUCAGUUAAUUGGAGUAUAUUGUGUCAUAUCGCACACGUUUUUGUCGGAGUUAUAGAAUAUACGUAUAGCUGGAGGUAGGUGCACUGCUUCAAAGAGCUCAGUGUGUUGAGUAGAGAAGUUAGCUGUAUGUUGAGGUAGAUGCAGUGAGCUCAGUAUGUUGAGGUAGAUGAGCGCUGAUGUGGCACACCGUAUAUAUUUUAUAUAUAGCACCUCUUGGCAAGAGCUAUGGUUCCCUUCGUGCCAAGGCAAAAUCCUCAUGCAUGGUGUUAGCGUCCCUGACAGGGGCGCCCCGCAGGACAGCAACACCGCCAAGACACAAGCCGCGCCACGCGCGGCCCGAGUCCGGAAGCCCAACUGCAGGACCUGCGGCCCAGAGUGGUCCAAGUGAAGCCCACCGCACCGAUAUGAAAGGAGACGGCAACGCCAGGGUUCGGUAUCCAGUGGAUCACGGCAACGGCGGCUCGGCUCAUUCCCCUUCCCCCUCGUCACGAACCCUAGCCUCCAUUCUUGUAUUUCUCCUGUAAUCGCCACUAAAUUGUGUACCUGAGAGUGCUGCCACUAUAAUUCGAGCUAGUUCCUACCCAUAGCCUAUCAUCUGGUAUCAGAGACCAGUAAAAUUCCUCGGCCGCUCCAUUCUGGCGCAGCUAAUCGAGACCAGAGGCCUCCGGCAAGCGCGUACGCAAUUGGUAGCCAUGGAUUCGGCGAUCGAAGCCUUCCUCGACCGCCUCGACAACACCCUCAAGGCCCAGAACAAGGCCAUCGCGGAGAUCCAAGUCUCCACCGCCAAGAUCGACGAUCUGGUUCACUGGUCCAGAUCUGGAGAAGCGGGUGGCCGAUCUCGGCGACGCGGUGGCGGCGCUCCAGAUGGCGCAGCCACUCGUAGGCAGGACGGGCGAAGAGCAUCAAGGGGUGGUUCAGAAGCAAGGCCCUUCUGCGACGACCGGCGUCCUUCCGGGGGCCGGUGGCGGCGCGGGCAACGAGCUUCAAGGGCCAAGCGGCCACGGCGUGUUCAACUUGCCACAGGGGAACGUGGCGGCGUCCUUCCAGACGCCGCCACCACCCCCGGCAAUAGGUCCGUCGUCCUCUCUGACCACGUCUUCGUCCUCUCUGUCGCCGUUUGCACAUGCGAGUCAACUGCUAGCAGGUUUAGGGCAGUCCCACCCGUCCAUCGCCUUCCCACAGUUCACGGGUGACAACCCAAGCUUGUGGAAGACGAUGUGCGAACAGUACUUUCAAAUGUUCGGCAUAUUACCGUCGUUCUGGGUUCCCAUGGCGGCUCUGAACUUCUCUGGCUCAGCUGCCGUAUGGCUGCAGUCGGUGCAAAAGCGUUUGUCAGAGUUUGAUUGGGAGCAGUUUUCUGCCCUGCUGUGCACACGUUUUGGUCGCGAUAGACAUCAAACGCUGAUCAGACAGUUCUAUUAUGUUCGACAAACAUCAUCAGUGGCGCAUUACAUUGAGCAAUUCGAGUUGAUUAUCAAUCAUUUAGCUUCCUACUCUGACACGAUUCAUCCGUUUAUUUUCUGACUCGUUUUGUCGAGGGAUUACGGAAGGACAUCAGGGCGGUGGUCCUGGUUCAGGGACCAUCGGACUUGGACACGGCAUGCGCGCUGGCGCUGCUACAAGAAGAGGUGAUGGAAGGAUCGUUUGGCUCGCUACCUCGACCACCCGAGCAGGCGCCAAGACAGGGCACACCACUGCCCCUGCCUCCUCCACCGGCGCGAGCGGUACCAUCAGCGCCCGCGGUAGAUCGCCGCGGUACGGACGCCGCCCGCGCCGAUCAGUCCAAGCUCAAGACUCUUCGUGACUACCGGCGCGCCCACGGACUGUGUUUCAAGUGCGGCGAACGGUGGGGGCACGACCACGUGUGCCCCACUACGGUGCAGCUGCAUGUUGUCGAGGAACUCCUCGAUAUGUUCGGCCUCGACAACGGCAUCGACACACAGAUCGCAGAGGAGGGCGCCAGCGAGGUGGCAAUGGCGAUUUCCCUCUCAGCGGUGACAGGAGGGGUCUCGGCCAAGGCGUUUCAGCUUAGAGCGUGGCUACAAGGAAGAGAAGUGCUCAUGCUGGUGGACUCGGGCAGCUCAAACUCCUUCGUCAAUGAGCAACUAGCAGCGCAACUGAAGGGCGUGCACCCCCUACCCAAGCCAGGCCGCGUCCGUGUGGCAAACGGCGGCGAGCUGCUGUGUACACAAGUCGCCACCGCGUGUGCCUGGUACGCCCAGGGCCACGAAUUCUACACAGAUCUGAAGGUGCUUGCUCUGGGCACCUAUGACGUCAUCCUGGGCAUGGACUGGCUCGAGGAGCAUAGCCCAAUGACGGUCGACUGGCGCGCUCGCUUCCUGGAAAUACCUACUCCAGCGGGGCCGCUCCGACUCAUGGGUCACGACGCAGCUUUGACUAGUUGCCAAGAGAUCAACAGCAUACAGCUCCAGAGCCUGUGCAACAAGGGCGCGAUCACUCAUGUCGUUCACCUGUGCGUGGUCGCACCACAGGCAGAAGAGCUCGAACCAACUCCGUCGUGCAUCCAGAGUGUGGUUGACCAGUUUCCGGAGUUGUUCGAGGAGCCAGUGGGUUUACCUCCUCGGCGAGCGUGCGACCACCGCAUUCCACUUAUUCCGGGGGCACAACCAGUCAACGUCAGACAGUACAGAUACAAGCCAGCCCAGAAAAUAGAGAUCGAAGCACAAGUUGAAGCUCUGCUCCGCUCGGGAGUUAUACAACGCAGCAACAGUCCAUUCUCAUCACCUGUCAUCCUGGUUAAGAAGAAGGACGGUACUUGGCGGCUUUGCAUCGACUACAGGCAACUGAAUGCCAUCACAGUUCCCAGUAAGUAUCCUGUCCCAGUCAUUGAAGAGCUGCUCGACGAGCUGCAUGGGGCAGCAUGGUUCUCCAAGCUGGACCUCCGCGCGGGCUAUCAUCAAAUACGCCUCGCGCCAGGGGAGGAGCACAAGACAGCCUUCUCCACGCACCAGGGCCACUUCGAGUUCCGCGUGGUGUCGUUCGGCCUCACCGGCGCACCACCCACAUUCCUGGGUGCAAUCCACGGCACGCUCAAACCAGUGGUCAGAGUCUGCGUGAUAUACUUCUUUGAUGAUAUCCUCAUCUUCAGCGCUACGCUGGAAGAGCACGUGACACACGUCAGACAGGUGCUGGAACUCCUUCGCAAAGAUCAGUGGAAAGUGAAGCGUAGCAAGUGUGCCUUUGGACAAAGCAAAAUAGCAUACCUGGGGCAUGUCAUCAGCGCACAAGGUGUGGCGACCGAUCCGACCAAGAUUGCAGCAGUAGCCAACUGGUCUGUCCCCCGGGACGUCAAAGGUGUGCGUAUUUUUUUGGGACUGGCAGGGUAUUAUCGCCGAUUCGUCCGUAACUUCGGGAUCAUCGCCAAACCUCUGUUCCACCUACUGAAGAAAGGCGUUCCCUUCUUGUGGACAUCAACAACUGAAACAGCCUUUCAGGUUCUGAAACAGCACUUGACAACAGCACCUGUCCUCGCUCUGCCCAAUUUCGAACAGCCGUUCACAGUGGAAACUGACGCAAGUGAUAAGGGCAUAGGAGCAAUUCUGCAACAGAAGGGGCACCCAAUAGCGUUCAUGAGCAAGGCACUCAGUCCAUGAUACCAAGGAUUGUCGACAUAUGAAAAAGAGUACCUCGCAAUCAUCGUGGCCGUGCACCAAUGGCGUCCGUACCUGCAGCAUGCGGAGUUCGACAUCUACACGGACCAAAAGAGCUUGACACACCUGGAAGAACAAAGGCUCACCACUCCGUGGCAGCAGAAAGCAUUUGCAAAACUUCUGGGGCUGAGAUACAUAAUCAGGUACAAGAAAGGAGCAGAGAACAACGGAGCAGAUGCGCUGUCUCGAGCUAAUCCAACAAUGACGCUGUCAACGGUCUCCUCCUGCCAACCCAGGUGGCUGGAAGAUGUUGUUAGCAGCUACAACAACAACCCACACGCACAGAAGCUGCUGGAGCAGUUGGCGGUGCGAGAAGAUCCCAAGGGCAGGUUCCAGUUGCAGCAGGGCAUACUGCGUUUCAGAGGAAGGAUCUGGCUAGGAGGAGGGACUCAAAUACAGCAGCAGAUCAUGAGAGCCUUCCAUGACAGCCCAAUGGGCGGACACUCAGGCUUUCCCGUCACAUAUCGGCGCGUUCGUCGCCUCUUUGCGUGGCCCAAGAUGAAGGAACAGAUCAAGAACUAUGUGCAAUGCUGCCCAGUCUGCCAACAAGCAAAGCCGGACCGCGCAGCAUCCCCAGGACUGCUAGCCCCCCUUCCAGUCCCAACUCAGCCCUGGGAAAUGAUCUCCAUGGACUUCGUGGACGGAUUACCGCAAUCGAGGAGGUUCAAUUGCCUGCUCGUGAUCGUCGACAAGCGCACCAAGUUCAGCUACUUCUUGCCGCUGGCACACCCAUAUACAGCAGCAUCAGUGGCACAGCUGUACAUGCAACAAGUGUACAAGAUCCACGGCCUCCCAGGGGCUAUCGUGUCAGACCGCGACCCGGUUUUCACAAGCCAUUUCUGGCAGGAGCUGUUCAAGUCAGCAGGCACCCAGCUGCGCCUCAGCACGGCCAAUCACCCGCAAACAGACGGACAGAUGGAACGAGUCAACCAGCGUGUCGAGACGUUCCUGCGAUGCUUCACUCAAGCGUGUCCACGACGCUGGAGCUUCUGGAUCCCCUUAGCCCAGUUUUGGUACAACAAUGCUUAUCAUUCAGCGAUUGGAAUGACCCCCUUCAAAGCAAUGUUUGGCUAUGAACCUAAGCAUUGGGGCAUCUCAGCUGCAAACACCACAUCGGUACCGGCGCUGAACUCAUGGAUCGAGGAGAGGGACACAGUUCAAGAACUGCUGCAACAACACCUGAACAGAGCUCGUCAACUAAUGAAGAACCAAGCAGACAAGAAAAGAUCGUUCAGAUCAUUCAAACCAGGGGACCAGGUAUACCUGAAACUCCAACCGUAUAUCCAGACUUCGGUGGCGCCAAGAGCAAACCACAAGCUAUCCUACAAGUUCUACAGACCAUUUACAAUCCUGGACAAGAUCAAUGAGGUGGCCUACAAGUUGCAACUUCCUGCCAAUGCAACAAUCCACCCGGUUUUCCACGUCUCACUGCUUCGUCGAGCUCUGAACCCGGGUAUGACUGCAGAGCCUUGUCUUCCUCACUGUGCUGAUGAACUUGCAGUCCCUGUAGCCAUACUACAGACGCGGUGGAAACAAAAGAAGGGCAAGAUGUGCGAACAGGUCCAAGUGCGCUGGUCCAACUCCGACGCGCUAGGAUCAACAUGGGAGGACAAGGCGAGUCUACAGGCAAGGUUUCCCUUUGCAGAGGCUUGGGGACAAGCCUCGUCUCAAGAAGUGGGGGAUGUUAGCGUCCCUGACAGGGGCGCCCCGCAGGACAGCGACACCGCCAAGACACAAGCCGCGCCACGCGCGGCCCAAGUCCGGAAGCCCAACUGUAGGACCUGCGGCCCAGAGUGGUCCAAGGUGAAGCCCACCGCACCGAUAUGAAAGGAGACGGCAACGCCAGGGUUCGGUAUCCAGUGGAUCACGGCAACGGCGGCUCGGCUCAUUCCCCUUCCCCCUCGUCACGAACCCUAGCCUCCAUUCUUGUAUUUCUCCUGUAAUCGCCACUAAAUUGUGUACCUGAGAGUGCUGCCACUAUAAUUCGAGCUAGUUCCUACCCAUAGCCUAUCACAUGGGAGCAAAUUUGAUGGUGAGCUACUGAGCUUAGUAUUGAUGGUGAGCUGCACGUCGGUGGCCAGCUCGUGCCGCUCCUCCGUCAGGCCGGCGUCGUCCGGCUCUGAAGUGUCAAGGGGCAUGUGAUCGCAGCCUCGAAGUCGAGCUAAGCUUGUGAUCAUGUAGUGCGUGCACUGCAGUGCUGCUACAUAAUUUUGGAAAGGUCAUCAAACAUAUUAACGGUCAUGAUCUUUCAGUUGCACCUUUAUUAUUUCUAGAGAAAACUUCACAAAGCGAAUUGGCUACAACUCGAAGUCUUUGCAUGGAAGAGAAUUUACAUAUUCUGCUCACUCUGUACUAAUCUAUAUCUAUCUAUAUACUCCCUCCGUUCCUUUAUAUAAGUCUUUUUAGGGAUUUCAAUAUGGACUACAUGCAGAUGUAUAUAGAUGUAGUUUAGAGUGUAGAUUCACACAUUUUGUUCCGUAUGUAGUCCAUAUUGGAAUCUCUACAAAUGCUUGUUUUAGUAACGAAGGGGGUACCUAAUCUUCUAUUCUUAAAUAGCUGCAUCCCACUACCUAUUUUUCCUCCUCAUGCAAACCAUGCCACAUCAUCAAGUCAUGCAUGUGGUCAUAAGUACUUAUUUUUCCUCUUCAUGUAACCAUGCCACAUCAUGCAAGUCAUGCAUGUGGUCAUAAUUUAUAAUGUGUGCACUAAUCUACCCAUAGUUUCACUAAUUUUUGUGUGGGCAUAAUUGUUAUAUACAUUGGACGCAUAGUGCAACAAUAUGUAGAUCAUGUUACAAUAUUUUGUGUAAAAUGGCACCCCGUUUACUUCAAUCCAAUAGUUUCUAUUUUUGUCAAAUGCUUCAUAUGAUUUAUUGUUUCUAAAAUAUAAACCGAGAGCAAUCCUAUAUUUCUUUCUGCAAUAGUUUUAGUUUUUAGCACCUAUUACGCAUUUGUUUAUCAUGUUUUUCGCAUCAAUGCGUGGGGCAUCGUCUAGUAAUAAAGGGGCUAUUGCUUCUAAAGAUACGUCACGAAAUUGCCUCAAAUACUGUAAAAUGUUACCCACUAAUGCCACCUAUAAGUGAUAAAAAAAGUGUUUCACACAGAGGAAUCCCCUGCCUGGGCCGGCCCAUGCAGUAGGGACCUCCUAUACUACGCUCUGCACGCUGGCAGAAGACACAGCCCGCCCGUUUGGGCCGGCCCAUGUCCGGGCAGCCUGCUUUUUAAAUUUCCUUUUUUUUGUUUUCGUUUUUCUACUUUAAAUAAUUUGGGACUUCAAAUGUUUCAAAAAAAAAUAAAAAUGUCAAUUUUAAACUAAAAUAUUUAAUAAAUCAUAAUUUUUUGUUGAAUAAAAAAAUGUUCAUGAUUUUAUAAAAAACUAUUGCUUAUUCAAGCAAUGUAUGAAAAUUUGAAACAAAUGUUCAGGAAAUAAAAAAUGUCAUGAUUUUAAAAUUUUCGUGUAUUAAAAAAUGUUAACGAAAUUCAACAAAAUUUCGCUAAUUCUAAAAAUGUUCAUGAAUAGAAAAAUAUCUUAAAAUUACAAAAUCUGUUUGUGACUUACAAAAUAGUCUAUUCAUUCCAAAAAUGAUAAUGCAUUUCAAAAAAUGUUUCUUAAAUCAAAAAAAAUGUUCAUUACUUCCAAAAAUUGUUCCACAAAUUUCCAAAACAAUGUUCGUCCAUUCUCGUAAUUUCGGCCGACUCAAGAAAAUUGUUAAAAAAUGUUCACGACUUUCGAAAAAAUGUUUGCAAACAGUAUAAAAUGUUCUUGAUUUUAUAAUUGUUCGAAAAUUUGUAAAAGUAUUAAUGAAUUUGAAAAAUAUUCACGAUUUCAAAAAAAUGUUCAUGAUUUCACGAAAUUGAGAGUGAUAGUGUAUCUCGGUGAUGCAGCAAAAUAUGAUCAUGGCCAUUGAAGAUUAUGAUUUGUUUUUCUUUCGUUCCUACGCAUAGCCCGUUUGCUAUAAUAAUAAUAAAGGGGCUAUUGUUUCUGACAGUUCGUCAUAAGAUUGCCCCAAAAGUUGUCAACAAUUAACCCCCAUAUCACCUAUAAGUGAGAAAAAAUGGUUUGCAAGUCGCUCCACCGUAUUUUAGUUUAUCACUAGCCAACCCACCAUGUCACCUACUGGCUAGAGUUUCACGCCUCCACCUGAGAUAUCCAGCUUUGAUUCUAGCUUAGCCUAUUUUUAUUUCUAUUUUUUAUUAGGUAUAUUUAAAAAAAAUCAUAUCUUUCAAAUCCUAACUCGAAAUCUAACAUAUUAUAUAUGACAAUUUCUCAAAAAAAUGUGUAGAUUUCAAAUAUGUUGUUAUCAUGCAUGUUAAUCAUUCCUAAAAUUAGGUUUAGAAUGCAACCUUAAUUAAUACCUUCUUUAUAUGGGAUAUUUUGUAAAUGCCUAUUGUAUAUGUUCCCACACCAUUUAAAUUGAAUACAUGUGAUAGUUUCAUUAGUUUGAGACAAAAAUAAUGCUCUUAUGCACAAGUUAUCGUUGUGUACUAAAAUGUACUUCUCUAUUUUCAUCAUAAUGCAAUAUUUGUUGGGCAUCACUAAGGAGGAACGAGAACAAAAGUGUAAACAGAUAGCGACAACUAGGUACAUAUUUUUGUUGUCUAAUAAAUUAGAAACACCUUAAGUACACUUCAAAAAUCAUCUCAUCUUUAUGUUUUUUGCGCAACACCACUUAUCAUGUUGUUUGUCGCGCAGCAUCGUGAAAGAUUUUAAGGGAUUUGCUGAUGUCGUCGGAUGUGUGUAUGAGGGACGAUUUUUUUUCUCCCGGUGCAACGCAUGAGCAUAUUUGCUAAUCAAAACAUAUGUGUGGAUACUAUGCUCAUUCUGGUCCAUGAUGCUACUUGAUUAUAAGCGCUUCUUUUAUGAGCUUUUAUCUUACCCAAAUAAUGUACUCCCUCCAUCUGAAAAUACUUGUGGGAGAACUGGAUAAAAAUGGAUGUAUCUGGAAUUAAAAUACAUCUAGAUGCAUCCAUCUUUAGUCAUGCCGGUUUCUGUUGUGGCUUUGUUGUAUGAUUGUUUAUUUUAGAUGUACCAGUUUUUAGCAUGUACCCUACGUCCCAAAUUACUUGUCGCUAAAAUGGAUGGUCUAGCAAUAAAAUAUGUCUAGAUACAUCCGUUUGAGCGACAAGUAAUUUCAGAACAUCUAGAUUCAUCCGUUGAGUGACAAGUAAUUUUGGAUGAAGGAAGUAGCACACUGUUACUUAUUUGUUUCAGCCGGGCAAGAUUUCAUCUUGGUCGAUUCACUUUCUGUUGAUUGAUCCCCUAUGAAGUAAUCGAACAUGGCCUAAUGAUGUGGUUUAAGUUUGAUCAAUCCACACCUCUUGGUUUGAUUUAGAUAAGACCAACUAGACUACAAUAUUCAACACAUGUUGGAAAAACUGAGAACAAUGAGCAUCUACAGGAGAGACGUGGAAAUCUGUUGCGAGUUUGUAAAGACAGGCUGUUUUUGGGGUGCAGAUGCAAAUGUAUCAAGGGGGCACCUGUAAAUGAUAAGUGAGUUGAUCAUGUCCCUUGCAUGUAGAUUGAACAUACCACACAGUUUUAGAGCAGUGUAUCAUGUGAUGAGCGGUAUCACUGGAUAUUUUUCCUCGGAAAUUGCUUAGGGGGUAAAUAGACGAAUGGAUAUCAGCGGAAUAAUUAUGGAUCCCUUCAUACUAAUAAUCUCACCUCCCCCCUCCUAAAUUUAACGGAGGUGGCCCCCUCCUCCCCUUUAGGCUUUGUUUGGUUUCACGGGAUCCUUCGGGGAUCCUCAUCAAAAACCAGGGCGUCCAGCCCACAGGGCAAGUCAGCCCAUGUAAGACCACCGAAGCAUUUGGUUGCCCACUGGGAUUCUGCAUCACGAUUCACGUCGUUUCCACGGGAAGGUUUUCCACGUCUUGAGGGGUUGGGGAGGAAAGCCUCGGCUCGCCCACCCUCACGACGCAACGCCUGCUGAUUUCUCCGCCUAGUGACAUGUUGCUUCCUACGCCUUCCUCCAGCGACAAUCCUCUGUUGUGGCUGUCAUCCUUCCCGUUCCCCCCAAGAUUCGAUCAGCCUCAAAUCUCAUGUCCCGUCCAGCAGCGAUGAGCGUCUUCCUACUCCUUCGACCAAGGUAGCCUCUCCUCCUCCCUCCUCCCCUGCGUCCAAAUAGCAACAUAGCUUUUUCCAUGGUUUGUACAAGGAUCUCACGUGAGCAGGGAGAUCCCCACUUGGGGGUUUAUUGCCCAGCCUUUUCCGUCCACAACAACCAAAUGAGCCUUUAAUCUCCAUUAGAAAUUGCCACAUAUCAAGGCCGCGAUUGAAUUGAGUAUAAUUUAAUACAUGUGUAUAAUUUUACAAGUGUAUCUGUGACGCCCCCGAUUUGACCGUACACUAAUCAUGCACGCAAAUGUGUACGAUCACGAUCAGGGACUCACGGGAAGAUAUCACAACACAACUCUAAAACAUAAAUAAGUCAUACAAGCAUCAUAAUACAAGCCAGGGGCCUCGAGGGCUCGAAUACAAGUGCUCGAUCAUAGACGAGUCAGCGGAAGCAACAAUAUCUGAGUACAGACAUAAGUUAAACAAGUUUGCCUUAAGAAGGCUAGCACAAAAGUAGCAACGAUCGAAAAGGCAAGGCCUCCUGCCUGGGACCUCCUAACUACUCCUCGAAGCCGAACUCCAUGUAGAAUCAUCCUCGAAAUCUCUAGCUCCUGGACUCCAGCAUCUGGUUGCGACAAUCAGGUAUAGAAAGGGGAAAAGAGGGAGAAAAGCAACCGUGAGUACUCAUCCAAAGUACUCGCAAGCAAGGAGGUACACUACAUAUGCAUGGGUAUAUGUGUAAAGGGGCAUAUCAGUGGACUGAACUGCAGAAUGCCAGAAUAAGAGGGGGAUAGCUAAUCCUGUCGAAGACUACGCUUCUGGCCAUCUCCAUCUUGCAGCAUGUAGAAGAGAGUAGAUUGAAGUCCUCUAGGUAGCAUCGCAUAACAUAAUCCUACCCGGCGAUCCCCUCCUCGUCGCCCUGUUAGAGAGCGAUCACCGGGUUGUAUCUGGCACUUGGAAGGGUGUAUUUUAUUAAGUAUCCAGUUCUAGUUGUCAUAAGGUCAAGGUACAACUCCGGGUCGUCCUUUUACCGAGGGACACGGCUAUUCGAAUAGAUAAACUUCCCUGCAGGGGUGCACCACAUAACCCAACACGCUCGAUCCCAUUUGGCCGGACACACUUUUCUGGGUCAUGCCCGGCCUCGGAAGAUCAACACGUCGCAGCCCCACCUAGGCUCAACUGAGAGGUCAACACGCCGGUCUAAAUCCUAUGCGCGCAGGGGUCUGGGCCCAUCGCCCAUUGCACACCUGCACGUUGCGAGGGCGGCCGGAAGCAGACCUAGCCUAGUGGCGUUCCAGUCCAAUCCGGCGCGCGCCGCUCCGUCGCUGACGUCAAAAAGAGCUUCGGCUGAUACCACGACGCCGGGAUACCCAUAACUACUCCCGCGUAGAUGGCUAGUGCGUAUAGACCAAAUGGCCAGACUCAGAUCAAAUACCAAGAUCUCGUUAAGCGUGUUAAGUAACCGCGAACGUCGACCAGGGCCAGGCCCACCUCUCACCUAGGCGGUCUCAACCUGCCCUGUCGCUCCGCCACAAAGAUCCACUUGCGGGUACUCCUACGAGCCGACCCGACUUUAUUUACCACAUGUGUCAUGUAUAGAGUAUAUAAGUAUAUACCCGUGAUCACCGCCCAGGUGAUCACGGCCCGAUAGUAUAGCACAACAGACGGACAAGAAUGUAGGGCCACUGAUGGAAAACUAGCAUCCUAUACUAAGCAUGUAGGAUUGCAGGUAAAGGUAACAACAGUAGUAGCAAGGAUAGGCUAUGCAUCAGGAUAGGAUAUCGGAAAACAGUAACAUGCUACACUACUCUAAUGCAAGCAGUAUAGAGAAGAAUAGGCGAUAUCUGGUGAUCAAGGGGGGGCUUGCCUGGUUGCUCUGGCAAGUAGGAGGGGUCAUCAACUCCGUAGUCGAACUGGGCAGCAGCAGUGUCGGUCUCGUAGUCUACCGGAGAGAAGAGGGGGGAAGAAACAGUAAAUACAAAGCAAACAUAAGCAUGACGAUGCGUGACAUGACAAUGAGCGGUGCUAGGUGUGUCCUAACGCGGCAGUAGGUGGUACCGGCGAAGGGGGGAACAUCCGGGAAAGUAUUCCUGAUGUUUCGCAUUUUCGGACAGAUGAAACGGAGGGGGAAAGUUGCGUGUUCGAUAGGUUAGGGAGGUGUGGUGGACGAACGGGCUACGUAUUCGGAUUCGUCUCGUCGUUCUGCGCAACUUUCAUGUAGAAAGUAUUUUCAUCUGAGCUACGGUUUAUUUUAUAUGAUUUUCUAAAGUUUUAAAUCAUUUUAGAAUUUAUUUAACUUAUUUAAUUCAACAUUAUCCAGAACAGUGCCUGCUGAUGUCAUCAUGACGUCAGCAGUCAACAGGGCGUUGACUAGGUCAAACUGACGUGCGGGACCCACCUGUCAUUGACUGAUUAAUUAAUUAACUAACAGUUUAAUUAGUUUAGUUAUUAGAUUAGUUUAAUUAAUCAAAAAUUAAUUAGGUUAAUUAAUUCUUUAAUUAAUUAAAUAUUUUUAAUAUAUUAUUAUUAUUAUUUAUAUUUAUUUAUUUAUUUAAUUCCCUUUUUUCUUUUUUUUAAACGUUCAGGGGGCUGGGACCCUACUGCCAGUGGCCCAGGAGGCCACUGGAACGGGUGCUAGCGGGCGAACCCGACGGGCGCGGGCAAGGUGCUGCCCGCCAGGACGCGGGGUGAGGCCGUGGCCCGGUCAUGACCAGCGGCCACAGCCGGGGCUCCGGCGCGGCGGAGGCAGCCCCAGGAGGAGGGCCGCGGCCAAGUGCAGAGGAGGGGGCGCGCUUGCGGGGGAGCAGGGAAGGCGACGGAGCCGAGGGCGCCGGCGACGGGGCGAGCGGCGAGUGAUCUGCGCGAAGGCGAGGGAUAGCAUAGCGGCGGAGGCGGCCACGGUGGGCACGCGCAGGGCGGGGCGUGUGCGAGGCGAGGCCACGGUUCAGCGAGGCGAGAGGGGAGAGGAGGUCGGGCCUCACCGCGCGCGUAGGGAAGUGGCAGUGGGGCGUGACGAGGAGGACGGGGACGUCACGGUGGAGGGGAAGAAGGCCGGCGAGGUGGAGGAAGCAGGCCGGUGAUGGAGCUCCGGCGACUGGCGGCGGCGGCGUCGACGUGCAGGAGGUGGCGAGGCGUCGGCGUUAGUAGGCGUCGGGUCGACGAGGGAGGAGCUGCGAGGAGGCCGGGAGGGGCGGCGAUUGGCGCGGAAAUAGUCCGGCGAGGGGGUCCGAGAGGCGAUGGGGUUCGGCGUCGAUAGGCGCAGGUGGCGGCGGGACGCGCCGGGCGGCGGCGUCGCGACGUCGGGAGUGAGCGAUGUGCGCCUGCGUCGUGGAAGGCGGCGGCGCUAAGGGAGAGCGAGGGGAAGGGAGGUCGGGCGUGGAGGCGCCUGGCGGCGGGGGGAGGCGCCAGGGGCGCGAUCCAGAUGUGGAUCGUGAGGGGGAACGGGGACCGUGGGGAACGAGGUGGGAGUGGGGGUAGCAGUUAGGGUUUGGUCGGGGGAGCCGGGCCAUAUAGGCCAGGGAGGGGUGCGGGGAGUGGGCCGGCUGGGCCGACUGGCUCCUUCGGCCAACUGGGCCAAGGCCCAGUCAGAGGGGGGCUUCUUUUAUUUCUUUAGCUUUGUUUUCUGUUUUCUUUUCUUUAUAUAUUUUCUUUUCUAUUUUAUUCUUUUAAUUACUGUUUUAUAAAAUAUAAAUACAACUCCUAAAUUAAUAUUAUAAUUUAUUCUACUGCCCCAAAAAGUUUGACACUUAAUUAAAAUAGUUUGCAUUAUUAUUAUUUUUAAAAGACAUUUAAUUAAUUGUCAUAGCUGUUGUUUUAAUUACUUUAGAGCCUUUAAACAUUUUAUUAAAGUGUGGUUUCUCCACAAUAAUUACCUAUGCAUUAUUUGACAACACCCCAACGGUUUAGUUUCAAUAUUUGAAAAUCUUUACCGUUUGAUUUUAUUAAGUUUGAAUUUCAAAUCGAUUUUGAACUAACACGAGAUUAACAACAAUAAUCGUGGUGACGUGACAUCAUUAACGUGAGAUUAAUGUAGCCUAAUUAUCCGGGCGUCACAGUAUCUUACCGGAUUAGACUGAUUUCCGGCCGGAAACAAUAAGACGUCUAGGGGCGUGUAUCCUUUACCUGUAUCUAAAGGAAACACGAUAAUCCAAGCGCGACCUAAAUUGCGUAGAAACCGUAAAAUGGGAUUUGUUGCUGUAGCAUUACUUGGAGGAAAUCGCUUGAGGCCUUGGUUUUGUUUCACUCUUUUUUUUAAUCAAAUAAAAUAUGAUUUGGCAGUUCUCGUGUUAACAUUAAAAAAAAAAGUUUUGACUAGUGUUAUUUUGCUCCCCCGUAGUAUUCUGCUCGCUCCCACCGACACCCCCUCCCCCAGAAAAAUUCCCCAAAUUUGGCCGGCCAAAAUCAUGGACGGAGAUCGACGGACGCCGGCGGCCGCGGCCGCCGCCGCAUCGGCGGCAUCGGUCCUUGACGACGACAACCUCCUCCGCGAGAUCCUCCUCUGCGUCGCCUUCCCCACCUGCCUCGUCAACGCCGCUCUCGUCUGCAAGCGGUGGCUCCUCCACGCCUCCAGCCCGGCCUUCCUCCGCCGCUUCCGCGAGUGCAACCCGCCCCGCCUCCUCGGCGCCUGCGUCGGCUACCCCGGCAGGUAUCGCUUCGUGCCUCUCCCGCGGCAGCCCCCGGAGCUCGCCGCCCCCAUACGCCGCGCGACCUCCUGCUGCGACGCCGCCUUCGCCCGCAGAUGCCCGCGAAUCAAGCACUGCCGGAGCGGCCGCCUCAUCAUCGAGGUCUUCCGCGACGGCAGCUUCAAUCACCCCCUUGUGGUGCCGGUUCUCGCCGGGGAGUCUUCAACCGUCCUCCCACCAACCCUGCUGUCCCACGCCCACCGUAACUACUGGGAGAGGCGCACUCAAUUCACUGAGAUGUUCCUACCCGAGGAUGGGGGCCGCGACGGCAUAUCGUUGGUGAAUCUGUGGAAGGACCGGCAAAAAGUGUAUGCGGAGGUGUGCAUCCUCAGAUCUGGCCGAUGGUGCGUCCCUGACAUGGAAUCAGAGAUAGAGCCCCCAGAUGGCACAGUCUUCCUUGAAAUGCUACCACCCGUCCAUGGCAAAGUCUUCAUGGUGACCAACUCUGGGCACACCGUGGGUCUAGAUUUGGCCGCGGGGAGCCUUUUCACCCUAGAGCUACCAGUUGGAGUGCGGAGCAACUAUAUGCUCUCAUGUGCAGAGGAUUCAGGGAUCUAUCUUGUCAGCGCAGACGGGUUUCAGCUCAGUGUGUGGCUCCAUCGGAUGUCGGGCGAUGACAAUGAUGCAGGCUGGCUGCUGCUGGACACAUUUUGUGUCCGUGAGGGUCAGGCAUGCACGCCCCGUGCAGAGGACAGUUGGGUUCCUCCUCGCAAUGUUUGUCUUGAUGUUGUUGCGGUCGGGGACAAUGCCGACUUUGUGUUCUUGGAUCAUCCAGCAAGUGGCACUCUCUUUUAUGUUCAUCUGAGGAGCAGGGUGGUUGAGAAGGUCUAUCAGAGGGGGGCAGAUGAAUGUGGGUAUAAACGUGCGGCUGCUGGCCAUGUGCGUGUCUCUCCUGUUAUGAUGAUCUGGCCACCUAUCUUCCCAGCGCGGAACGUGAGACGUGAAGAAUGAUCCCCCUGUGUUUGAUCGUUGUACUAUCUAAACUGAGUAUGAGGUCUGUAAUAGAGAGGUAUGUACUUUGAGUUAUUUCUCUUCCU
rnacentral:lncRNA from 1 species